rnacentral:rRNA from 1 species
AUGAACGCUAGCUACAGGCUUAACACAUGCAAGUCGAGGGGCAUCAGGAAGAAAGCUUGCUUUCUUUGCUGGCGACCGGCGCACGGGUGAGUAACACGUAUCCAACCUGCCCUUUACUCGGGGAUAGCCUUUCGAAAGAAAGAUUAAUACCCGAUGGCAUAAUGAUUCCGCAUGGUUUCAUUAUUAAAGGAUUCCGGUAAAGGAUGGGGAUGCGUUCCAUUAGGUUGUUGGUGAGGUAACGGCUCACCAAGCCUUCGAUGGAUAGGGGUUCUGAGAGGAAGGUCCCCCACAUUGGAACUGAGACACGGUCCAAACUCCUACGGGAGGCAGCAGUGAGGAAUAUUGGUCAAUGGGCGCUAGCCUGAGCCAGCCAAGUAGCGUGAAGGAUGAAGGCUCUAUGGGUCGUAAACUUCUUUUAUAUAAGAAUAAAGUGCAGUAUGUAUACUGUUUUGUAUGUAUUAUAUGAAUAAGGAUCGGCUAACUCCGUGCCAGCAGCCGCGGUAAUACGGAGGAUCCGAGCGUUAUCCGGAUUUAUUGGGUUUAAAGGGAGCGUAGGUGGACUGGUAAGUCAGUUGUGAAAGUUUGCGGCUCAACCGUAAAAUUGCAGUUGAUACUGUCAGUCUUGAGUACAGUAGAGGUGGGCGGAAUUCGUGGUGUAGCGGUGAAAUGCUUAGAUAUCACGAAGAACUCCGAUUGCGAAGGCAGCUCACUGGACUGCAACUGACACUGAUGCUCGAAAGUGUGGGUAUCAAACAGGAUUAGAUACCCUGGUAGUCCACACAGUAAACGAUGAAUACUCGCUGUUUGCGAUAUACAGUAAGCGGCCAAGCGAAAGCAUUAAGUAUUCCACCUGGGGAGUACGCCGGCAACGGUGAAACUCAAAGGAAUUGACGGGGGCCCGCACAAGCGGAGGAACAUGUGGUUUAAUUCGAUGAUACGCGAGGAACCUUACCCGGGCUUAAAUUGCAGUGGAAUGAUGUGGAAACAUGUCAGUGAGCAAUCACCGCUGUGAAGGUGCUGCAUGGUUGUCGUCAGCUCGUGCCGUGAGGUGUCGGCUUAAGUGCCAUAACGAGCGCAACCCUUAUCUUUAGUUACUAACAGGUCAUGCUGAGGACUCUGGAGAGACUGCCGUCGUAAGAUGUGAGGAAGGUGGGGAUGACGUCAAAUCAGCACGGCCCUUACGUCCGGGGCUACACACGUGUUACAAUGGGGGGUACAGAAGGCAGCUAGCGGGUGACCGUAUGCUAAUCCCAAAAUCCUCUCUCAGUUCGGAUCGAAGUCUGCAACCCGACUUCGUGAAGCUGGAUUCGCUAGUAAUCGCGCAUCAGCCACGGCGCGGUGAAUACGUUCCCGGGCCUUGUACACACCGCCCGUCAAGCCAUGGGAGCCGGGGGUACCUGAAGUACGUAACCGCAAGGAUCGUCCUAGGGUAAAACUGGUGACUGGGGCU